rnacentral:rRNA from 1 species
UCGAAUUUUCUUCAUAGUUCCGUGCCCCUUUUCCCUAGGUUGGUUUAAGUUUGUUUUGAGUCUUGAUAUCCUUUUAUUGACUUGCUGCCCAAGAGUCCGUCCUCGACUUGCAUUGAGCACCCCCUUAUUUAGAUUUACUGUAAUACUAGCGGGCCUUCAAUUAAAGUCGACACAAAGACGGUAGCUGGCGCGGCUUUUGUAGAAAUAUCGCGCAGAGGGGGUAGUAAGUAAAUAUCCAUAUUCUAGGGGGAGAGCAGGUUAAACCCACAUUCGAGAACAUUGAGGGGGGGACGGCUUCCAACAACUUAGUACAGGUGCCUCACGUGAGAGAUCCCACACCGGGCCGCGUGAGAAUUUGCAGAACCUAUUGCAUCCGGUGUCGUAUCCCCCGCUGAGCACUUGGCCGGAAAAAUCGUUAUAAUGAAAUGACGGUACCGAAAAGCCGGCUAACUCGUGCCAGCAGCCGCGGUAAACGAGGRGCAGCGUUUGGAAUUACUGGGGUAAAGCGUGCGCAGGKGUKAGAGAGAUGUGAAAUCCCGGUUAACUGGAGUGCAUUACUCCGCUGAGUGKAGAGGRRRGUGGAAUUCCSGUGUAGMGUGAAAUKGUAGAUAUGGAGAACCCUGGCGAAGGCGCYYUGGKACCUGACCUCAWGCACGAAAGCGUGGGGAGCAAACAGGAUUAGAUACCCUGGUAGUCCACGCCUAAACGAUGUCUAGACGUCGGUGGUUGUAGCGCAGCUAACCGGAAGYWSACCGCCUGGGGAGUACGGCGCAAGUUAAACUAAAGGAAUUGACGGGGRCCCGCACAAGCGGUGGASAUGGGUAAAGACGAU